ensembl:snoRNA SNORD24 Small nucleolar RNA SNORD24
UGCAAAUGAUGUGAAAUAUUUGCUAUCUGACUGUGAUGACAUUUCCACCAAGAUCACUGAUGCA